rnacentral:ncRNA from 1 species
UUCUGUAUGACUGGCGGAAGUGGGAGUACCCACAGGGAGUACAGAAUUAUAAUUAUGCCGACCGCCUGGGCAA